AGAGUUUGAUCCUAGCUCAGGGUGAACGCUGGUAACGUGGAUACCGGCAUGCAAGUCACGGGGGCCGCAAGGCAACCGGCGAACGGCUUAGUAACACGUAGGUACAUACCCCAAAGUGGAGCAUAGCUCGUUGAAAAACGGGGUAAUUCUCCAUAAUAUCGCAAGAUUAAAGCAGUAAUGCGCUUUGGGAAUGGCCUGCGGCCUAUCAGAUUGUUGGCGAGGUAAUGGCUCACCAAGUCUAUGACGGGUAGGGGGCGUGAGAGCGCGACCCCCAAGAAUGGCACUGCGACACGGGCCAUACUCCUACGGGAGGCUGCAGUCGAGAAUCUUCCGCAAUGGGCGAAAGCCUGACGGAGCGACGUUACGUGAAUGAUGAAGCCCUUCGGGGUGUAAAGUUCUUUUAUUUGGGAGGAAAUUAUUGACAGUACCAGAUGAAUAAGGGGAUCCUAAUUCUGUGCCAGCAGGAGCGGUAAGACAGAAUCCCCAAGCGUUACCCGGAUUUAUUGGGCGUAAAGGGUCCGUAGGUGGCGCAGUAAGUUGAAAGUUAAAACUCAUCGGCUUAACCUUUGAGGUGCUUUCAAUACUGCUGUGCUAGAGGAUGUUAGGGGUGAACGGAACCGACGGAGUAGGGGUGAAAUCCGUUGAUAUCGUCGGGAACACCAAAAGCGAAGGCAGUUCACUAGGACAAUCCUGACACUGAGGGACGAAAGCGUGGGGAGCAAAAAGGAUUAGAUACCCUUGUAGUCCACGCUGUAAACGAUGAUUACUGGCUAUGUGAAGUGUCGACCCUUCACGUGGCGAAGCUAACGCGUUAAGUAAUCCGCCUGGGAAGUACGGUCGCAAGACUAAAACUCAAAGGAAUAGACGGGGACUCACACAAGCGGUGGACCAUGUGGCUUAAUUCGACAACAAACGGAGAACCUUACCAGGUCUGGAAAUCUGCAUGAAAGCCCUAAGAAACUAGGGCCCUUCACAAGACAUGCAGACAGGUGCUGCAUGGUUGAUGCUUUUCACAUAAAGCAUAUCGA
rnacentral:rRNA from 1 species